CCUACGGGCGGCAGCAGUGAGGAAUAUUGGUCAAUGGACGAGAGUCUGAACCAGCCAAGUAGCGUGAAGGAUGACUGCCCUAUGGGUUGUAAACUUCUUUUAUAAAGGAAUAAAACGAGGCACGUGUGCCUUUUUGCAUGUACUUUAUGAAUAAGGAUCGGCUAACUCCGUGCCAGCAGCCGCGGUAAUACGGAGGAUCCGAGCGUUAUCCGGAUUUAUUGGGUUUAAAGGGAGCGUAGAUGGGUUGUUAAGUCAGUUGUGAAAGGUUGCGGCUCAACCGUAAAAUUGCAAUUGAUACUGGCAGUCUUGAGUACAGUUGAGGUAAGCGGAAUUCGUGGUGUAGCGGUGAAAUGCUUAGAUAUCACGAAGAACCCCGAUUGCGAAGGCAGCUUACUAAACUGUGACUGACAUUGAUGCUCGAAAGUGUGGGUAUCAAACAGGAUUAGAUACCCCAGUAGUC
rnacentral:rRNA from 1 species